UGGGGUGUAGCUCUGUGGUAGAGCGUUUGCCUAGCAAGUGUGAGGCCCUGGGUUUGAUCCUCAGCACCACAU
rnacentral:tRNA from 1 species